rnacentral:lncRNA from 1 species
CCUACAUACAGAAAAUCCUAAAUAACCUUCAAAAAGUCUAUCAGAGCUAAUAAACCUGCAAAGUGAGUAAGAAGAGUGCUUUUUAAGUAUGUGUGAAUUUUGAGUGAAUGUGGCGUAAGAUGAAAACGACGACUCUCACCUUUCUAAACUCUAUGUGUUGGUGACUGUGCUAAAUUUAAUCCUACAUCUCCAUCAUGAAGUAGAUAUUAGUGUCCCAAAUUUUGGGCUUCACAGGUGGCACUAGUGGUAAAGAAUCCACCUGUUAAUGCAGGAGACAUAAGAGACAUGGUUUGAUCUCUGGGUCAGGAAGAUCCCCUGGAGGAGGGCAUGGCAACUCACUCCAGUAUUCUUGCCUGAAGAAUCUCUAUGGACAGAAGAGUCUGGUGGGCUACAGUCCAUAGGGUUGCAAAGAGUCAGAUAUGACUGAAGCAACUUAGCACACACACAUUCCCAUUUCACCUUUAAAAACCAGGCUGCAACUCAACUGAUGGUAACUCUUCAAAGCUUGUCUUACCUAUUAUGUUUAUUAUGUUAUAUGGUCUUGAGAUGUCCUUUCUGUGAAUGAAUUAAAGUUCUAGUUAUAAAAUUCAUGAAAUGUUUGAAUAAAUUUCGCAAAAAGCCAACACCCUGUCCUAAACUCUAUUCCUCUUGAAAUGAAAACUGAGACAAAUAGAAACAAAUUACAGAGCUAACUUUUUAGAUAUACAAAAACUGGUUUCAGAAAACAAUGCUUUUUUUUUUUAAUGAAAUCUUGAAGCAUAGCAAAGUUAAUAAAAAAUGGACUUGACUCUCUUGGUACAUUCAGAGUUUAAAAUUCACAGAGUUGCUCCUGUUUUUACACAGAAUCUGGAGAUGUUAAAUUUUUUGUUUUGGCUUCUAGAUGUCCUUUAUGUGUACCCUGUGGAAUCCAGUUCAUCUCCAAUCUGUCAGAUAGCAUCAGAAGUGGUUUUGAGUCCUUAUGUCCUGAGCCUGUGAACAAAAUGUACCUUGUGUGGAGGAAAAUGAGAUCCCGAGUGAAGUCUACAAUGUCAUUGACUCUGAAGAAGGACUCAGAGACCCAUUGGUGUUUAAUGACCCUUACUGGCCUAUGCAAUGGGAACUGGUUACUAAAUACCAAGCUCCUCUAUACUGAGGUCAAGGAUUUCAGGAGACACAGGAUGAAAAGUAGACAGAAGAUCACGUUUCAUUGACAUUUUCAGAAAGCUCUUCACUAGCACAAUGUGGUACAUUAU